AGUGAACGCUGGCGGUAGGCCUAACACAUGCAAGUCGAACGGCAGCACAGGAGAGCUUGCUCUCUGGGUGGCGAGUGGCGGACGGGUGAGGAAUACAUCGGAAUCUACUUUUUCGUGGGGGAUAACGUAAGGAAACUUACGCUAAUACCGCAUACGACCUACGGGUGAAAGCAGGGGAUCUUCGGACCUUGCGCGAUUGAAUGAGCCGAUGUCGGAUUAGCUAGUUGGCGGGGUAAAGGCCGACCAAGGCGACGAUCCGUAGCUGGUCUGAGAGGAUGAUCAGCCACACUGGAACUGAGACACGAUCCAGACUCCUACGGGAGGCAGCAGUGGGGAAUAUUGGACAAUGGGCGCAAGCCUGAUCCAGCCAUACCGCGUGGGUGAAGAAGGCCUUCGGGUUGUAAAGCCCUUUUGUUGGGAAAGAAAUCCAGCUGGUUAAUACCCGGUUGGGAUGACGGUACCCAAAGAAUAAGCACCGGCUAACUUCGUGCCAGCAGCCGCGGUAA
rnacentral:rRNA from 1 species